UACGAAGGGGGCUAGCGUUGCUCGGAAUCACUGGGCGUAAAGGGCGCGUAGGCGGCGUUUUAAGUUGGGGGUGAAAGCCUGUGGCUCAACCACAGAAUGGCCUUCGAUACUGGGACGCUUGAGUAUGGUAGAGGUUGGUGGAACUGCGAGUGUAGAGGUGAAAUUCGUAGAUAUUCGCAAGAACACCGGUGGCGAAGGCGGCCAACUGGACCAUUACUGACGCUGAGGCGCGAAAGCGUGGGGAGCAAACAGG
rnacentral:rRNA from 1 species